ACCUGCUGUAAAUGUCAGUUUACAGCAGACAUCAAAUGCCCAGGGUUACAGAGCAGGAAGCCGGCAAUCAGAUGACCAGAUGCACGGAGGAGCUCACCGCAUCCCUAUCACUGCACCAGGAGGGAUUACAUCCCACUUCUUGAUUAAUCUGGUUACCAUGUCAACGCCCCGACAAGCAGCGGACAACGCUUUCCGGAAAAGGUAGGCGGCAACAUGCCCCAUUAUGUUUUGGUGCUGGUUGCUAAGCUACAUACCGCCGGAGAAUGGGAGGACGCUGUGUGACGUCACGUCAACGCUUGCGGAGACGCCGGCCGGAAGUGACGUUCACCGGAAGUGCGGGCGGCCCAGAUCCAGGAACGGGAGACGCACGUGUGGAGUGACUGCUCUAGAGGGUAUUUAGGGUAGAUAGAACUGGGAUAAAAGACGCAAAAUCAAAACCUGAAAUGUUUCGUUAUUUUAUCCAUAUUUACCUAUACACAAUUUUUAAAUAUACCCCACAAUGAACCACAAAUAAAGACAUUUUGGACAAUGCUAUGCUUCCAACUUUGUGGCAACAGUUUGGGGAAGGACCUUUUCUAUUCCAACAUGACUGUGCUCUGGUGCACAAAGCAAGAACUAUAAAGACAUGGUUUGAUGAGUUUGGUGUGAAAGAACUUGACUGGUCCGCACUGAGCCCUGACCUCAUCCCCAUCAAGCACCUUUGGGAUGAACUAGAAUGGAGAUUGCAUGCCAGACCUACUUGUCCAACAUUAGUGCCUGGCCUCAUAAAUGCUCUACAGAAUGAAUGGGCACAAGUUCCCACAGAAACACUCCAAAAUCUUGUGGAGAGCUG